rnacentral:rRNA from 1 species
CAGCAGCCACGGUAAUACGUAGGUGGCAAGCGUUGUCCGGAAUUAUUGGGCGUAAAGGGCUCGCAGGCGGUUUCUUAAGUCUGAUGUGAAAGCCCCCGGCUCAACCGGGGAGGGUCAUUGGAAACUGGGAAACUUGAGUGCAGAAGAGGAGAGUGGAAUUCCACGUGUAGCGGUGAAAUGCGUAGAGAUGUGGAGGAACACCAGUGGCGAAGGCGACUCUCUGGUCUGUAACUGACGCUGAGGAGCGAAAGCGUGGGGAGCGAACAGGAUUAGAUACCCCUGUAGUCCCUGUCUCUUAUAU